UUUCCCUCUUCUAUUUUGCGCUAAAGGUAAUAAAAAAAGUCCCAAUUUUUUUCCCAAUUCUAUUUCUCAGCUCUCUCGCACCUCAGUCUCUCUCUCCCUUCUGAAACCGCAAAUGUCGAAACCCCUAAAUCCCACAAGGUCUUCUCCAUUUUCCCUCCCUCAGCUCACUGUUGGUUAAUUUUUUUUCAUUUUUUUGUUAGAUACCUCUUCUUCUUUAAUUUUUUCCCACUAUUUUUUUUCCUUUUUCUUCUUCCUGAUCUCCGACUCCUAGAUGGCCCUCCGACUGCCUGUCUCUUCGCCACCCUCCCUUCUACUCCGGCUCAUCUACAGGUGCAGCUCCCUCAUUAUUUUCAGGAAACUCAGUUUCCAAGUUCAAAUUCAAAAAAAAGCUUGAGUAGUUGACAGAAUGGAACAUUUGGUUUUGGAGCAAGAAAAGCAAUAUCCAUUUGGAGUAAGAGGACAACUUUCAAAUGCACAUGUAAAGGAAAAAGAAAGUUGGACCAUCCUUGAGUUGGAGAGCUUAGGUGACGAUGUGUACAUAUGCAAUUGCUCGACCGCCAUGGCCAAAGGUUGAAAGAGGAACUAGGGUUAAACCCUACUUUGCCGCUUAGGUUGACUGGUUGUAAAUAUUUUGUUGUAAUUAACCUUUAAAUUAUAUUUUUGGGAUCCCAAUGUAUACAGUAAACGUUUUAGUGAAACGUUGUAUCUUAACAAAAAAAUUUAAUCCUAAACUGCUAAUCAUACUUAGUUACAUGAUUAUGGCCAAAUGACUUGAUUAGUGACUUUAGCACUGUUUAAAAUGCACACUGUAAUGGUCCCUGGGUAGUAGGGUGUUACAACUUGGUAUCAGAGCGAGCCAAGGUUAAGGGUUCAUGAAGACAA